CAGCCGCCGCGGUAAUACCGGCGGCCCGAGUGGCGGUCACUAUUAUUUGGCUUAAAGCGUCCGUAGCCGGGUUGGGAAGUCCUCCGGGAAAUCUGGCCGCUUAACGGUCAGAAUGCCGGAGGAUACUCCCAGCCUAGGGAGCGGGAGAGGCCGAGGGUAUUCCCGGAGUAGGGGUGAAAUCCUAUAAUCCCGGGAGGACCACCUGUGGCGAAGGCGCUCGGCUGGAACGCGCCCGACGGUGAGGGACGAAGGCCAGGGGAGCAAACCGGAUUAGAUACCCGGGUAGUCCUGGCUGUAAACGAUGCGGACUAGGUGUCGGGCAAGCUAAGGGCUUGUCCGGUGCCGCAGGGAAGCCGUUAAGUCCGCCGCCUGGGGAGUACGGCCGCAAGGCUGAAAUUUAAAGGAAUUGGCGGG
rnacentral:rRNA from 1 species